AUGAUUCUAAGGGAUUUUAAAAGACUUUUUUAUCAUGAAAAAGUCUUGUGGUAUUCAAUCAAGACUCUUUCCAAUUUAAAAAAAGUCUUGUGUUAUUCAAUCAAGAUUCUUUGUCAUUUAAAAAAAGUCUUGUGGUAUUCAAUCAAGACUCUUAAUCACUUAAAAAAAGUCUAGUGGUAUUCAAAAUCAUUCAAAUUUCG
rnacentral:lncRNA from 1 species